UGACCUCGGAUCAGGUAGGAAUAC
rnacentral:ncRNA from 2 species